rnacentral:rRNA from 1 species
GACGAACGCUGGCGGCGUGCUUAACACAUGCAAGUCGAACGGAAAGGCCCUGCUUUUGUGGGGUGCUCGAGUGGCGAACGGGUGAGUAACACGUGAGUAACCUGCCCUUGACUUUGGUAUAACUUCAGGAAACUGGGGCUAAUACCGGAUAGGAGCUCCUGCUGCAUGGUGGGGGUUGGAAAGUUUCGGCGGUUGGGGAUGGACUCGCGGCUUAUCAGCUUGUUGGUGGGGUAGUGGCUUACCAAGGCUUUGACGGGUAGCCGGCCUGAGAGGGUGACCGGCCACACUGGGACUGAGAGACGGCCCAGACUCCGACGGGAGGCAGCAGGGGGGAAUAUUGCACAAUGGGCGCAAGCCGGAUGCAGCGACGCCGCGUGAGGGAUGACGGCCUUCGGGUUGUAAACCGCUUUCAGUAGGGAAGAAGCGAGAGUGACGGUAACGGCAGAAGAAGCGCCGGCUAACUACGUG